rnacentral:rRNA from 1 species
UACGUAGGGCGCGAGCGUUGUCCGGAAUUAUUGGGCGUAAAGAGCUCGUAGGCGGCCGGUUGCGUCUGCUGUGAAAACUCGAGGCUUAACCUCGAGCUGUCGGCGGAAACCAUCUGGCUAGAGUCCGGAAGAGGAGAAUGGAAUUCCCGGUGUAGCGGUGAAAUGCGCAGAUAUCGGGAAGAACACCCGUGGCGAAGGCGGUUCUCUGGGACGGUACUGACGCUGAGACGCGAAAGCGUGGGGAGCGAACAGG